UUUCAAUUCCAAUAUAAAACAAGGAAAGUUGUUGGUUCCUUAUUGAAAAAAAAUGCUAUUGAUACUGAUUCUUCUUUUCAGUAUUGCAUGUGGCAAGCCACAGAAGCAUGAUGUAGUGGAUAGAAAAGAAGUGACCCCAAGUUUUUUCGAAGAUAUAUACCACGAAAUCAAUAAUGUUUUCUCUGAAGCGAUAUCAGGACUGAGACGACUCAAUGAGAAAAGAAGAAAAUUUUUCGGUGA